UACGGAGGGGGCAAGCGGUUGUUCGGAAUUACUGGGCGUAAAGGGCGCGCAGGCGGCUGCUCAAGUCAGGCGUGAAAGGCCUGGGCUCAACCCGGGAAUUGCGCUUGAGACUGGGCUGGCUUGAGUGCGGGAGGGGCGAGUGGAAUUCCUGGUGUAGCGGUGAAAUGCGCAGAUAUCAGGAGGAACACCAAUGGCGAAGGCAGCUCGCUGGAACGGUACUGACGCUGAGGCGCGAAAGCGUGGGGAGCGAACAGG
rnacentral:rRNA from 1 species